UUCUGCUCAGCACUGGCAGCUGUCUGGGGAAGGGAGGGCCCUGGCCCAGCCACAAAAGCCCAGAUAUUUUGUGAAUCUUUUCCCAAUUUUUGAUAAUCAUGCUGCCCUGAAGAUGCCAGCAAAGGAAUGGGGAAUUGUUCCAUCUGAUCCAACUGUCCUUUUUUGUUUCUCAAGUGAUGGACAAAAAGGCAGGGCUGAAGGAGGUAUUUCCCCGAGGAAGCAGUGGCUCAUUGGCAGCCCCUGCAGCAGAAAGGAAGGCGAUGCCAGACACGGGCACAGGCACAGCAGAUGCAGCCAGCACCACAACACCUGUUCCUGAUGCCGAGGAUGGCCUCGGAAGGGGCUUCUAUAUGGGAACAGGCUGCUGGGCAGGGGUAAUGGCAGGCCUGCUUAUUUUGGACCUUAUUCUCAUAUUGUGCUGUGUCAAAAUCUGGUGUUACUGGAAGAAGAAAUGGAGCACCUCUGGAACUUCACAAGUCCAGCCAAAUACCUCAGUCAUGGAGAACUUGGCCUGUCGUCGUGCAUCUCCGUGCCAGUGUCCAUUGUCCCUUCCACAGGUGUAUUACCAGCUUGUAGCUGGAAGUAUGCUACAAGCACUGCCUAGAACAGAUCCGUCUCUCCCUGAAGGGACUGGCCUAGCUGCCCAUCCAGGACAGGAGGUGCAGCCCUCUAGCCAGGGAAUAGAUUAUUCGCAAAGUUAUAUUUACUUGUAAAAAUUUUAGAUGUUUAUUAAAAACCUUAUUAGAAAUAUAACAGGACACUGAAUAAAGACAAUGUUACUGUGCUGGGA